rnacentral:misc_RNA from 1 species
AAGUCGUAACAAGGUUUCCGUAGGUGAACCUGCGGAAGGAUCAUUACAACGUAUCCACGUAUAAACAAACGCGAACAUCCCGCCAAUGGUAAAAACCAGGUAGCUGGCCUGAAGUUAACCGGCUGAACUGUUAAUUAUGUGUCUUGUCGAUGGAGUUGUAUCUUGGGAAGCCAAGGCACAACUGAGACACGAGUUCUGGCCCGGGUAAGCCCUUGUGGUAGACCCGAACUUCGUUUACCUUUGGUGUGUAUUCAACCAUCGGGUUCAUAAUGUACCCUUUAUUAACCCUUUGUAAAAUUUGAACUGAACUUGGUAAACACUGCGGCUUUCCUCGCUGGCUUCGGUCACGGAAAGCACUCAACGCGGUGCUUUUACUCUUUAUUACGAAAUAAGAACAACUCUUAACAACGGAUAUCUUGGUUCUC